AAUGCUAUUCUUUUUAUUACUUAAAAUUGAAACCUGCUUUAAAAAUCUUUUUUUUUUUUGCUUUAAAGAAGACAUUUCAACUUUUUCCUUAAAAAAAAAAACAUUUCAAAGUUUUAAGACUCUUCUAUUUCAUUUUCUCCUCUUUUCCUCUUCUUCGACAGACCAAAGAGAAACGGCUCCACCAGCAUUUUGAGCCAAACUUCGACAUCAAAGGUUUCUCUUGCGCCGCGUCGACCAUUGAAGCCAUUGUGGAUAGUGGUGAAAGCUGAAGCAACGAUCAAGGCUAUUGAAGUUGCAAAAGAUAUGAGAUUUAAAAUUCUAUUGUGAUCCAAUGAAAUGCUAUUGGAGUUGUUAAACAACUGAGUUCAAAGUCAUGUGAAAAUUCAUAGAAGAUGCAACUAUAUUGUUGCCAUCAAAUUUGAGGAGAGUUGCUGAAGAAGACAACAUAUAUCACUUUUUGUUGCUCAUAAUAUUUGGUAUUAGAGGUGUAUUGUUUCACUUCUGUACUAAAGCUUGUAUUGGCCUUUCCGGUUUGUAUCACCACUUAUGGCAAUAAAUACAAUGUUUUUUUUUUUUUCUAAA